AAAACGACUCUCGGCAACGGAUAUCUCGGCUCUCGCAUCGAUGAAGAACGUAGCGAAAUGCGAUACUUGGUGUGAAUUGCAGAAUCCCGUGAACCAUCGAGUCUUUGAACGCAAGUUGCGCCCCAAGCCAUUAGGCCGAGGGCACAUCUGCCUGGGUGUCACGUA
rnacentral:rRNA from 1 species